AUUUAUUCUCGUUCUUUUAUAGGCUAUAUAGAAACCAAUUCUAUGCGCAGCUUCAGGAUAUGGCUAUGGCGGUCGCACAAGUUUCAAGGAUUUACAAUCUCCAGCAUCCUCUUCCAGCUUUGCCAAGAUUUGCCCCACAUCAAACUACUCUCCCCACGAUGCCGUCCAGGAAUCUCUCUCUUGUUAGAGCUUCGAAGCCGGGAAGAGAAAACACAAAUGAGCCCGAUUCUGCGACCUUCAUUUCUUCGGUAAGCCACACACUUUAACAAGCAAUGGUUAAUGAAAAAAUAAAUUGUGGAUAAUCAUUAAUCCUUGUGUUUUGAUUGGAUAGGCGGACUUGAAUUACUUAGUGAAAUUAGGAGCUGGUUCUCUUGCUGGUGCAGCUGCAAUUAAAUAUGGAAGUAUCAUACUCCCAGAAAUAACACAGCCCAACAUUGUGCAGGCACUGAUUAUGAUAACUACUCCAGUUAUUGUAGCUGUCGUCCUUCUGAUCAAGCAAAGCCGUGUAGAUUGAACAAGUUUUUAUUUGACAUUUGCCCUGGAAGUGAACACAAGAUGAACUUCGUCCAGCUUCUAUUUGGAGAUCGAGGAAGAUAUGCCCAACCCAUGAUUUUGAACUAUGUUUUCGACAAUGAUACAUAAAGAAACAGUGAAUUUCGUGAGUAAAAUGUUGUAAUAAUGCGUUGUUCAGAGUCCUUGGGUUUAUGAAUAAACACAUUGUUAAGGGC
rnacentral:lncRNA from 1 species